rnacentral:rRNA from 1 species
UACGUAGGCCGCGAGCGUUGUUCGGAGUUACUGGGCGUAAAGAGUGCGUAGGCGGUUUUCUAAGUUUGGUGUGAAAUCUCCCGGCUUAACUGGGAGGGUGCGCCGAAGACUGGAAGGCUUGAGUAUGGGAGAGGUAAGCGGAAUUCCUGGUGUAGCGGUGAAAUGCGUAGAUAUCAGGAGGAACACCUGCGGUGUAGACGGCUUACUGGACCAUCACUGACGCUGAGGCACGAAAGCGUGGGUAGCAAACAGG